rnacentral:rRNA from 1 species
UACAUGGGGUGCAAACGUUGCUCGGAAUUAUUGGGCGUAAAGCGCGCGUAGGCGGUUACUUAAGUCGGAUGUGAAAGCCCUCGGCUUAACUGAGGAAGUGCACCCGAAACUGAGUAGCUAGAGUACGAAAGAGGGUCGCGGAAUUCCCGGUGUAGAGGUGAAAAUUCGUGAGAUAUCGGGGAGGAACACCGGUGGCGAAGGCGGCGACCUGGGUCGAGACUGACGCUGAGGCGCGAAAGCGUGGGGAGCAAACAGG